UUGCCAGCCGCCGCGGUAAUACGGAGGGUGCAAGCGUUAUCCGGAUUCAUUGGGUUUAAAGGGUGCGCAGGCGGAUACUUAAGUCAGUGGUGAAAUCCCGGGGCUCAACCCCGGAACUGCCAUUGAUACUGAAUAUCUGGAAUACGGUUGAAGUGGGCGGAAUGUAGCAUGUAGUGGUGAAAUGCAUAGAGAUGCUACAGAACACCGAUCGCGAAGGCAGCUCACUAAGCCGAUAUUGACGCUCAGGCACGAAAGCGUGGGGAGCGAACAGGAUUAGAUACCCUGGUAGUCCACGCCGUAAACGAUGAUAACUCGUUGUUGGCGACACACAGUCAGCGACUAAGCGAAAGCGAUAAGUUAUCCACCUGGGGAGUACGAUCGCAAGGUUGAAACUCAAAGGAAUUGACGG
rnacentral:rRNA from 1 species